CAGGCUUGCACCCAGGGCAGCAGGGAUCACCACAGUGAAAAAGGAGCCCAUGUUGAAAAAGCCACAGGAUGGUUGUACCAGGGGCUGUAAUAAAGUGCAAAUUUAUGACCCUGGAAACAACAUGUUGAUGAUGCACUGGGAAGAGGAGCCGGAGCUGUAAUCCCAUGUCCAGAGCGGGGACGCAGGGAAUCGCCACAUGAGGACUUCAGCGGCGGGGAAGAGAGAUCAAAUAUAUCAGCUGAACCAGAACAGAGCGGGACUUGAGAAGUCUUGUUUGCAGGUUCACACCAAAGAUGUUUUAAGUUUUCAGCUGAGCCCAAACAAGUGCUUUUAGUUAUGUUGUUUUGUUGCUGCAGCGUAAAAGAAAAAUAUCCAGCUCUU
rnacentral:lncRNA from 1 species